rnacentral:misc_RNA from 1 species
AAGUUAGUCUUAAGAGUAAGAGGACACAGCGGUGCAGCCCCAAAAAAUAUUCUUUUGAUUUGCAUAUUUUUACUUCACGUGAAAAUUAGCUCGUGAGCGGUCACUUGUAUGUGCUUGCUUAUAAAUAAAAGCUUUUAUUUACUACACUCACACCUGCAGCGACGGCACGACACCUUGUUAGUGAGUUAUCACACAUACAUACAAAUAAAUAAAGUAUUGGCUUUUUGUUUAUUAACCAAUUGACAGCGAUUUUGCGCGCUUUUGACGAACAUUUUGUACGCUCAGUGUUUAUUUGGUGCUCCACUCCGCCGGUUGCUGACAACGAGCACGAAAACGAAAGCGGCCAAACCGAAAUAAAACGUGGCGCAGCGAAGAUAACUGGAAAGUCGAAAAACACUUGAAUGCCUGCGAUUUGAUGGCCAUCAUUAUCAAAUUGAUUGCUGCUAUUGUUGUUUCUAAUAAAGUGCCUUCUCGGACGCUAUACUAUCGAGCUUGAGGUUAUGUGUUUACAAUUAAUUACAUUUUAUUUAUUGUGAAAUCGUUGAUAUGCCAAAAAAGUGUCGCAAUUGAGGAACUGUGAAAAAUUAACAAAUUUUCUUACUUAAAAAAGCAAACAUAAACAAGUGAGCAGUGCCAGUGCUUUUGCCAUGAAUUCAGUGUGGAGAGUGGGCAUUUUCGCUAAGAAUGCAGCAGUAGCCAUAACAAAACCAUGCCAUGUUGGGUCGAGCACUCGUUUCAGGUACGCAAGUAUCGCAACAGGUGUCGCGGAUCCCAAAACACAACUGUCGGACGACAAGCCAGCGUCAGCAUCAAACACAGUCGCCGCGGCGGAACCAGCUCCGAGCUUUGACCAACAGCGCAUAUUAAAUAAGGCACAGGUUAAGCCGAUAAGCAGUCAACCGUUGACAGACACUUUUGGACGUCACCACACAUAUCUGAGGAUCUCAUUGACCGAGCGUUGCAAUUUGCGCUGUCAAUACUGUAUGCCAGCCGAAGGUGUACAACUGCAACCAAAGUCAAAUCUGCUAACCACCGAAGAAAUUCUCUACUUAGCGCGAAUUUUCGUUGAGCAAGGGGUGCGUAAAAUUCGUCUAACCGGCGGUGAGCCAACGGUACGACGCGACAUAGUCGAUAUCAUAGCCCAAAUAAAGUCCAUACCCAAACUGGAGAGUGUCGGUAUUACUACAAAUGGCCUAGUAUUAACACGUCUCUUGCUGCCGAUGCAGCGUGCCGGCCUGGAUGCGGUGAAUAUUAGUUUGGAUACGUUGCGCCCGAAACGUUUCGAGGAAAUCACACGACGCAAGGGCUGGGAGCGCGUUAUAGCCGGCAUUGAUUUGGCCAUACAGCUGGGCUAUAAGCCGAAAUUGAACUGUGUGCUUAUGCGCAAUUUCAACGAAGACGAAAUUUGCGAUUUUGUCGAAUUCACCAAAGAUCGUGCAGUGGAUGUGCGUUUCAUAGAGUAUAUGCCAUUCACGGGCAACAAAUGGCAAACCGGUCGGUUGAUUUCUUUCAAGGAAUCAUUGGACAUUAUAAAGAACAGAUGGCCUGACUUCGCGGCGCUGCCCAAUGGCCCAAAUGACACAUCAAAAGCGUAUGGCGUACCUGGCUAUAAAGGACAAGUAGGCUUCAUAACAUCUAUGACGGAGCAUUUUUGCGGUUCCUGUAAUCGUUUACGGCUCACCGCAGACGGAAAUAUUAAAGUGUGUCUAUUUGGCAAUAAAGAAUUUUCGCUACGUGACGCUAUACGCAAUAAUUGCUCCGAAGACGAUCUGAUUACGUUGAUUGGAACGGCAGUGAGUCGAAAGAAGAAGAAGCACGCUGGCAUGUUGAAUUUGUCACGAAUGGAAAAUCGUCCAAUGAUACUAAUCGGUGGAUAGUUUUAUGUACGCUUAAGAACAUACAAACAUAAAUACCUGCCAGCGCUGCUUAAAAAUACGAUAAAGAUAAUUUCAUUCAUGAUAAUGUCACAGCAGAAAUGCAUCACAUCUCUCGCAAAACUUUUGACAUUCGGAAGCAACAAAGGAUUCAUUCUCAAC